rnacentral:tRNA from 1 species
CGUUUUAGAAACAUUCAGGGCCAACAGUUUCAGGAUUGUUGAGCUCCAUUGGCGGGAUUUCGCCGUCUUCGUUUCUCUUUCUUCGCGGACGAACACGCGCUAGGGGCUGAGCGCUGUGCGAUGCAUCGACUUCACGUCGGGUGCGCGCCGGCAUGUCUCUCGUGUUAGGGGCUUGUAGCUCAGUUGGUUAGAGCGCGCGCUUGAUAAGCGUGAGGUCGGAAGUUCAAGUCUUCCCAGGCCCACCAUUUUGAUCGAGUGCGGAGCAUUCGUCUUCUGGUACGGGGCCAUAGCUCAGCUGGGAGAGCGCGUGCUUUGCAAGCAUGAGGUCGUCGGUUCGAUCCCGUCUGGCUCCACCAGAUGGAAUUGAAGCUCGAGAAUGCCUCGUUCAAUCGUCCGCGAAACAUCACUUCGCACUCAUUGGUCCGGAUGGACGGUGAUGUGCGUGUUUUCUGACAUCGUAAAGAGGAGAUCGAUCCGAGUUUGGAUCUGCGAAGUAAUUCGCGGGUACCAUUCCUAAUCUCCAGAUCGUUUUCGGCGCUCGUUCAUCGCUACUCAUCGCAAGAUGAGUGAGAUGAUCGAGUUGUAAAACGAUCUUUGUAGCGAAGCUUGACCGCCUCGCUAUCGGGCCGAUCUUACGAAGCAAGCUGGUCUUUCUAGUCAAUGUCCGGCUGUGCAAUCGCAUUCAUCGAGGAUGCGCGCCUGGGACUUCGGUCUUUGGGCAAUUACACAGACAACAUUCUGCCGAGUGUGUGGACAUUGAUAAUGAGAGCAAUCAAGUGCCUUAAGGGUGUUCGGUG